AGUGAACGCUGGCGGUAGGCCUAACACAUGCAAGUCGAACGGAAGCACAGUAAGAGCUUGCUCUUACGGGUGGCGAGUGGCGGGUGGUUGAGGGAUACCUCGGAGUCAACUUUUUCGAGGGGGAUAACGUAGGGAAACUUACGCUAAUACCGCAUACGACCUACGGGUGAAAGCAGGGGAUCUUCGGACCUUGCGCGAUUGAAUGAGCCGAUGUCGGAUUAGCUAGUUGGAGGGGUAAAGGCCCACCAAGGCGACGAUCCGUAGCUGGUCUGAGAGGAUGAUCAGCCACACUGGAACUGAGACACGGUCCAGACUCCUACGGGAGGCAGCAGUGGGGAAUAUUGGACAAUGGGCGCAAGCCUGAUCCAGCCAUGCCGCGUGGGUGAAGAAGGUCUUCGGGUUGUAAAGCCCUUUUAGUGGGAAAGAAAAGCAGCAGGUUAAUACCUCGCUGUUUUGACGUUACCCAAAGAAUAAGCACCGGCUAACUUCGUG
rnacentral:rRNA from 1 species